rnacentral:rRNA from 1 species
UCAGAACGAACGCUGGCGGCGCGUCUUAAGCAUGCAAGUCGAACGGCAAGAGGUAGCAAUACUCCUAGAGUGGCGGACUGGUGAGUAACACGUGGGUGACAUACCCUUCAGAUGGGGAUAGCUAUUAGAAAUAGUAGAUAAUACCGAAUACGAGCACAGGGGUUAGAGGUCUGUGAGGAAAGGAGCUAAGGCUCCGCUGAAGGAAUGGCCUGCGGCCCAUUAGCUAGUUGGUGAGGUAAGAGCCCACCAAGGCGAUGAUGGGUAUCCGGCCUUAGAGGGUGAACGGACACAUUGGGACUGAGAUACGGCCCAGACUCCUACGGGAGGCAGCAGCUAAGAAUAUUCCGCAAUGGACGAAAGUCUGACGGAGCGACGCCGCGUUGGAUGAAGAAGGCCGGAAGGUUGUAAAAUCCUUUUGAAACUGAAGAAUAAGCGUUGUAGGGAAUGACAGCGUGGUGACAGUAGGUUUUGAAUAAGCAACGGCUAAUUACGUGCCAGCAGCCGC